rnacentral:rRNA from 1 species
UACGUAGGGGGCAAGCGUUGUCCGGAUUUAUUGGGCGUAAAGAGCGUGUAGGCGGCCAGAUAAGUCCGCUGUGAAAACUCGAGGCUCAACUUCGAGCUGUCGGCGGAAACUAUCUGGCUAGAGUCCGGAAGAGGAGAGUGGAAUUCCUGGUGUAGCGGUGAAAUGCGCAGAUAUCAGGAAGAACACCCGUGGCGAAGGCGGCUCUCUGGGACGGUACUGACGCUGAGACGCGAAAGCGUGGGGAGCGAACAGG